rnacentral:lncRNA from 1 species
UUUUGUUGUUUAAAAGUUGUUAUAUGUAGCCUGAUAUGUGGUCUUUAAUAUUCAGAAAGAAUCAAGUUCAUAUCUAUUGUAGAUCGGGAGUUAUAAGCGGUCAAAGUGGGUUGACCGGCAUUGACCGGCUGUUCUUUAAACCCAGAAAAUAUUCUAAGUGUCCAGAAAAUAUUUUUUUGGAAAAUGUCAGGCCUUAUAUCUCGGUUAUCUUUAAUGUGUUUUGUGUUCUAAAAGUUGAUAUGUGUAGUAUGUUAUGUGGAAUUUAAGCUCCAAAACUAAUCAGGUCGAUAUCUAUUUUGGAAUAAAC